ACAUCAUCAUCAUUAGGUCCUUCCCGAAAAAUAUCUUGUAACCUGGAGAGCCCUAGCUCCUUCUGUGAGGUCAGAAGUGUUGUUGUGACAGCACCUGCUUCUCAGAUAUUCCUUCAGUACAUCUAGGGUUUGUAACUGGCCUUUAAUUCAGAGUAAACAGCCAUUUUUUAGGGAGAGCAAAGAGGAUGAAAGGAUCCAAGAAGAGGAGAAGGAAGCUGCCCUUCUGUCAUGGUAUAAAAAAGGAAGAAAUACAUGGUCCACUGGAGAGCUCAGUGAAUCCUGGGAACCUAUUGAGGUUGAUGUUUAACUGGACCUCAAGCCAUUCCUCUCACUGCCCAUCCUCCUAAGUAUGAUGUAUGGCCUGAAGAAAUAAUCAUGGUGGGAACACAGCUUUUCUGAUGUCUGGAAAUUUUUGGAUAAACUAAGGAUUUGGAAGUUCAUCAUUGGAAGUAGGUACAUAAUAUUUACAUUUUUAUAUUCAACGUUAGGUGGGACCCUUGGGUUGCCAAAAUCAUUGCAAAAAAACAUGAAAUUGGAAAACAGAAUUUUUCACUUCACAUUCAGGAAUAUAUAAAGUCACCUAUCAAGGAAUGUACAAUGAGAAACUGUAAUGAAAUAUGAAUUCAAUUAAAGGAUUGUAGGGAAAAUGCUGGCCUUUGGGAAACAGAGAUAACCUAGGAUAUUGAACUGUAUGUCAUAGUAAUGGACCUGGUAAUAAAAUUAUUAUCCAGAGGAAUCUCUUCCACUCCAUAUUCCGAGAUCUUUUCUACCCAUGCAAAGCUCCUGAUUAUCUUUUCCUUUCAGAGCAUGUAACCACUAAGGAAAUAAAGAGAAGUUUCUAGCUUUAAAGACAUGUAGUAUGAAAAGGUUUCCAUUGUUUCACAGGAGACAAACCUUGCAAGGGCACCCUCGAAUCUGGUCAUUGAAAGGAAAACACUUUAGCAGGUAGGCCAUGGCAAUUCUCAGUGACAUCACCAUUAGGCCUAUCUAAAAAAAUCUGUUGUAUCCUGGAGAUCCCUAGUUUCUUCUGUGAUGUAACAAGUGUUGUCCUGACAGAAGUUGCCUCUCCAGUAGUCCUUCAGUACCUCUAGGGUUUACUAUUUGGCCUCUAAUUCAGCAUAAACAGCCUUUGGGAAGGAGAAAAAAGAGGAUGAAGUGAUCAAAGAUGGGAAGAAGGAAGCUGGCCUUCUGCUUUGUUAUAAAAAAAAAGAAAUAUGUGGUCCAUGGGAAAUCUCAGUCAUUUCUGGGUAGUGGUUGAGAAGGUUUGCU